GCCUGGUGAAAACAACAGGGAGUCCCUGGUGAGGGGGAGGCAGUGGGCUAACCUGCUGGGAAGCAGCAGCAUAGAAGAACUCUGCAGGGCCAGGGAGUAAGGCAAAGAGCUUCAGUGUGGCCCAGGAGGGCAGAAGAAUUACUGGUUUGGGUGCCAGAUGUGGUAAACAUGGCUCUCACGUUGCACACAAUGAUUGAGAGUUUCUUGUCCCACUUCUUGAAAUGUCAGAUCACCGUUUUCUCUUCCUUGCCAGAUCUUGUUUGCAUGCACAAGUGAAAGGAGGGGGAAAAGAUCAAUGAACAAGUGAUCUCUACACCCAACACUCAGAAUCUAUGCUUUGAAAAAUCCUCCCUACAGUCUACACUUCUACAAAGAGCCCCUCUCUAGGCCUGGUAUCCGUGCUUGGUUGAGAAGACUGGAGAGUUUACAGGUUUUGAUGUGGCAGGAAAGGAGGGAGGUGAGGGUUUUGUCCCUGAGAAGCAUAGUCUAAUAGAUGGAAAUGUUAAUGAGCCAGCAUUCCAGGAUGAGGAGCCUUGGUACAGGUGUCCUUGUAAGAGAUGUUUCUGCUCUGUGAAUCGCCACAAAGCAGAGUCCAGGAUUUGGAAAGUCUUCAAAGGACCUGCCUGAAACCUCAUUAUAAAACACACAAUCUGCUUGUUUGCAUUGAGGUACAGCCAAGCUCUGCCUGGGUCUUCAGUGAAUUCUAAUCAAUGCUAGGGACCAUCUUGGGAGCCCUAUUAAUUAACAAAUAAAAGAGUGUUUCUUAUAUUAAGACUACAUUGUAAAGAGUUGAAGGAUGAUGUGGUUGCUAGGUGUGUUUACUAAAUAGUUAUUCCAUUUGUUUGGGUCCAUCAGAUAAAUAAAUAAUAUUGCUUAUAACAAUCAUCAUGUGCAGGGGCGGCU